ACUCAAAGGAAUAGACGGGGACCCGCACAAGCGGCGGAGCAUGCGGAUUAAUUCGAUGCAACGCGAAGAACCUUACCAAGGCUUGACAUAUACGAGAACACCGUGGAAACACGGGACUCUUUGGACACUCGUAAACAGGUGGUGCAUGGUUGUCGUCAGCUCGUGUCGUGAGAUGUUGGGUUAAGUCCCGCAACGAGCGCAACCCUCGUUCUAUGUUGCCAGCACGUAAUGGUGGGAACUCAUGGAAUACUGCCGGGGUCAACUCGGAGGAAGGUGGGGAUGACGUCAAAUCAUCAUGCCCCUUAUGUCUUGGGCUUCACGCAUGCUACAAUGGCCGGUACAAAGGGCUGCAAUACCGCAAGGUGGAGCGAAUCCCAAAAAGCCGGUCCCAGUUCGGAUUGAGGUCUGCAACUCGACCUCAUGAAGUCGGAGUCGCUAGUAAUCGUGGAUCAGCAACGCCACGGUGAAUACGUUCCCGGGUCUUGUACACACCGCCCGU
rnacentral:rRNA from 1 species